rnacentral:rRNA from 1 species
GACGAACGCUGGCGGCGUGCUUAACACAUGCAAGUCGAGCGGAGCGGCGAACGGGUGAGUAACGCGGGAGUAACUGCCCCCCUCUCUGGGAUAACAGUUGGAAACGGCUGCCAAUACCGGAUAGUGGGGGAUGACUCGCGUCCUAUCAGCUUGUUGGUGGGGUAGUGGCCUACCAAGGCGACGACGGGUAGCCGGCCUGAGAGGGCGACCGGCCACAUUGGGCUGAGGUACGGCCCAAACUCCAACGUGGGGCAGCGGUGGGGAAUAUUGCGCAAUGGUGGAAACCCUAAUGCAGCGGCGCCGGGUGCGGGAUGACGGCCUUCGGGUUGUAAACCGCUUUCAGCCAUGACGCGGUAGUGGCAGAAGAAGCACCGGCUAACUACGUGCCAGCAGCCGCGGUAAUUC